UAGAAAUUGUGAGAAUAGUGAGAGUAGUAGUAGUAGUAGUAGUAGUAGUAGUAGUAGUAGUAAUAGAGUAGUAGGUGGUGGUGGUAGUUAGAGUUGUAGCUUCACACUGCAAGGGAUAAUACAACUCCCACCACCGUUUGUUCAGACAGUGCAGUCUUCCAGCAGCCUCAGCUCGGACAUGUUUGAGGCGACGACCUGGCGAGGAGCGUGCAAGAAAAACGAACGAAUAAAAAGAAAAAAAAAUCCAGCUCCUGAUAGCUUGUGCCCGCUCCCCUGUGACUCCCAAGGUCACUCACUGCUGCCAGAACCCAGACUCCCUCCACUCUUCUCUCCUGCGCGUGGUCUCUGGUAACACUGCUGGCUCAGAUUGUCAACACACACUGCCGCACUGGACUUCACAACAUACUCGAGUUACUUGGAGCGUUUAAGGAAGUGUGGUGAACUGUGCAAAAAUGAAGAAAUGGAACACGUAAGAAAGGAAGACUACAACAAGAAUGGAGAAAUGAAGAGGGAGGUAAGACUAGGGACGCAACAAGACAGUGCUACAUGGAAGGGCGACAGACACACCACACACCACAGCAUCUACGGUACGAGCGGCGAGGAAUCUUAAGACACUGAGCAAAUUGAAUCCAUUAAAGAAAUAUGAAU